rnacentral:lncRNA from 1 species
UAUUCUUUUGUUGUUGAUUUUAUUUGAUCUUUGAGAAACAAUACAAAAGAUACAAAAUACAUCACACCUUCCCAGACCCACUAGCUUCCCUUAUCACUUUCUGCCACAUGGCCUCAAAUGAAAAUCUAAUUGAAUGUCUAUAACAAUAGUAUAACGUAUGACCACUGACCAAUGACGGUCACAUAUUAGGCAUCAUUGUACAUAAAUCAUCACAAAUGAAAAUGUCUCUGGAGACGUCAGUAGUACGUCACUGAUGUGCACGUUUGUUCUAAUCCAAUACCAUAGCUUGCUCUGUGUGAGGAAGCUGCUGGGAGUCACACUACAGGCAAUGUGCAGGUCCUGUUCAGGUCCUGUUCAGGCACCGUUCAGGCACUGUAGGCUUUCAGCAACAACAUGGAUAGCAGCAGGUGGAGCAGUAAUGUAGUGUUUCAUCCACUGCUCCAGUCCACUCCCCCCCGGGACACUCACAAGGUCACAGUGUCAUAGAUCCCCUGGCAUAGCACGCACCCCCACAAUAAUAGUUUUUUUUCAAAUCUUCUAAAUACUUUCAAUAUUAUUCAUUUCCAUGUCGGCUCUAUGCCUGGAAAUGCCCUGUCCUGAGCAAAGGAUCCCAAUUUCAAACUCCCCAAAAUUAACUCCCCAAUAAUGGAUAUUAACUGAAACAUGAUCUUAUGUAGUUUUAUGCAAUAGCCCUCUGUGACUUAAAUGUAACAUAUUUGAACCAAAAUUCAUAUUCUAUCGUAAUCUAACGAGGAGAUGGACAAGGGGUCCUUAUGGCAUAGCUGACCCUCCUCAUUCCUGAUUCAUUUCAGAUUUUAGAAUAAUCUGACGUAGUUCACCAAAUCUCAGUUGUGAGAGAAAUAUUCUUUAAAUGAGGAUUUAGAGUCAUAAAGCAACUGAGUAAAACAUAAUUGCUACUGUGUAUACCACUUGAAUUAAGCAUCAAUUUCUGUCCACUCUGUUAAGCAUCAAUUUCUGUCCACUCUGUUAAGCAUCAAUUUCUGUCCACUCUGUUAAGCAUCAUUUUCUGUCCACUCUGUUAAGCAUCAAUUUCUGUCCACUCUGUUAAGCAUCAUUUUUUGUCCACUCUGUUAAGCAUCAACUCUGUCAGGUUUUUGUCUAACGCCAACUCCGAGUGCUGAAAUUAAUCAUUUUCCAUAUUUUACUUUUUUUUUAUUGAACUCGUAUUUUUAGAGGCAGUAUCAGUAUCUGUUGCCAACUACCCCUUAAGAUUUUGUUGUUGUUGUCAAUAUUCAGACAAAAUAUUUGAAUUGUUCUGCAACAGAUGCUUAAAGAAUUGUAAUAUUUGCUAUGUUAGACGUAGG